rnacentral:lncRNA from 1 species
ACCCAUCCUUACUCUCUUGGCCACACUGCAGCAGAGAAUAAUGCCUUCCACUGUGCUUGCAGACAAACGGUAAUUUCCAAGAGACUUUUAAGUAGAACUAAAGGCAAAUAAAAUAAAAAACUAAGACUCCCUAGGUGCAGACUGGCAGGGAGACCAGAAGGUAGGCCGAGGCCCAGUCUGUGCUCAGCUCUGCUGUGGAGCCAGCACAGUAACGCUAAGCAAGUACUCUCCCCUGGCAGAGUGCUAUCCAUAUACAGGGGGCUUCCUGGAGAGGAAGCAGUAUUGGACAUGGGUCCCCUCAAGGCCAGCCUCCACCAAGCAGCAUGCUUGCAGAGUUCCUUUGGUUCAAGUCAUGUUUUCAGUUACAGGGAUGGAUUUCCUCCCGGACAGCACCCAACAUCAGUUUUGGAACUUGAAAAUAGUGAUAUCAAGAGGCUGUCACACACCCAUUCCUCCUGCAGCAUGGCCAGAGCCACUAUGAACUUCCCAAGACUGGGUGCUUCAUUCUUGUGGAGGCUGCAUCCCUAAGUUGCUAUGACUCAUGUCUGCUGUACGUCCUGCUGCCCUGGCAUUGGACAGAGUGCAGAAAGAGUGCCCUGUGCAUUGCUUGUUUCUGGGAAGUGCACACGUGCUCUGGAUAUGGUGUUACAGUGGCACUGAUGACAUUUAAGGAAGUCUAUUUGGGCCAUUUCUUUCUUGGGACCAGAGUUGCCUGCUAAGAUGAUGCUGGGGCUAUUUAUAAGGGUUCAUAAUACAAUAGCUUCAGCUUGGGUGAGGUUUCCCAGUUGCCUAACAGUGGAAAGAAAG